UCGGUGCGGCAGAGUCGGAGCGGCGGCGGCCGGGGCGGCCGCGGGGAGCGGGCUCCGGUGCGGGAGUGAUCCUCUGUCAGUGGACCCCGGCGAGGGAGUGGACCCGACCCUGUAGUUGGGACAUCAUGGCAGCCCAUCAGGAGAAAAAACUUGCUGAAGAAAGAAAACACCAAAACAUGCAAAAUGAUACUAAAACAUCUCAAGGCCAGUGGGGAAGAGCAUGGGAGGUGGACUGGUUUUCCUUGGCAAGCAUCCUUUUCCUGCUCAUGUUUGCACCACUGAUAGUGUAUUACUUCAUCAUGUCCUGUGCCCAGUACCAGUGCUCUCUGACUGAUCCACUCCUGGACUUGCUGAAGGGGGAUAAGCAUCUGUCUGACAUCUGGAACAGGACUCCCAGGCUGACCUAUAGGGCUGCUGGCAUUUAUUCCCUUUGGGUUGCUUUCCAGGUGGUUUUGUAUGUGUCCAUUCCUGAUUACUGCCAUAAAUUUCUCCCUGGCUAUGUGGGAGGUGUACAAGAAGGUGCUGUCACCCCUGCAGGUGUCGUGAAUAAAUAUGAAAUCAAUGGACUUCAGGCCUGGAUCAUUACCCAUGUACUUUGGUUUGCAAAUGCUUCUUGCUUCCAUUUCUUCUCACCUACCAUAAUUUUUGACAACUGGAUUCCUCUCCUGUGGUGUGCCAAUAUCUUGGGAUAUACAGUGUCCACAUUUGCAAUGAUUAAAGGCUACUUUUUCCCUACCAAUGCCAAAGACUGCAAAUUCACUGGAAACUUCUUUUAUGACUACAUGAUGGGGAUUGAAUUUAACCCUCGAAUAGGGAAGUGGUUUGAUUUCAAGUUGUUCUUCAAUGGGCGCCCUGGUAUUGUGGCCUGGACUCUAAUCAACCUUUCCUUUGCUGCCAAACAACAGGAGCUGUACGGUGAAGUGACAAACUCCAUGAUCCUUGUCAAUGUCCUCCAGGGUAUUUAUGUUCUGGACUUCUUUUGGAAUGAAGCCUGGUACUUGAAAACCAUUGAUAUCUGUCAUGAUCAUUUUGGAUGGUAUUUGGGCUGGGGAGACUGCGUUUGGUUGCCUUACCUCUAUACUUUGCAGGGUCUGUAUUUGGUUUACUAUCCUGUCCAGCUGUGCACAGCUCACGCCAUAGGGGUCUUGAUGUUGGGCUUGCUGGGUUAUUAUAUCUUCAGAAUGACCAAUCACCAGAAGGACCUCUUCCGUCGCACCAAUGGCAACUGCAAGAUCUGGGGGAAGAAGCCUGAGUACAUCGAGUGCUCCUACAUGUCCGUGGAUGGGACCAAGUACUACAGCAAGCUGAUGACCUCCGGAUUUUGGGGCUGGGCACGUCAUUUCAACUACACAGGAGACCUGAUGGGCUCGCUGGCCUAUUGCCUUGCUUGUGGCUUUGAUCACAUUCUGCCUUACUUCUAUAUUAUUUACAUGACCAUUCUCCUCACCCACCGCUGCAUUAGGGAUGAGCACCGUUGUAGCAGCAAGUAUGGGAAGGACUGGAAGCACUACACUGCUGCAGUGCCCUACCGGCUCCUGCCCGGAAUAUUUUAAGGCUAACACAGUAUGCAGGGGAAAUAAAAAAGAAGAAACAUGCAGGCAUGCCAUGUUUAAAGUAACUGAAGUGAGGCACUGAACUGCCCCAUUUUUUUAGAAGACUCUUAAUUGGAAUAUCCCUCUGAAUCUCCCCAUUUCCUAAUUAACUUAGAGCUUAAGAAAAGAUGCAUAAAUUGAGACUCCUGAGAAAUCCCAAAACUGGGAAGUGGCCUUACCCUUGAUCUGGAAGCAGUUUGCAGUGCUUCAGGAGAGAAGAAAAAGAGUUCUGUCAUCUGUUUAGGAAAGAAGUUUUCUGAUGCAGUUUCUUGUGACCAUCAGAACCUACAAUUGAGAACAACAGCAAAGGAGAUUUGAUUGUUAGUUGCUUGUCAAGAAAUGAAUGGUGGAAAUACUGGACUGCAGAAGCUGGUCUGAAAUAACUGUAAUGAUCUAAAACAAAAGUGAAAACUGUUGUAAAUUAGUGCCAUUUUCAGCACCUGAUAACAAGGAACAUGACCAACUGGGUUUUAUUUUGAUACUGAAACCAGACUUUGUGACGCUACUGAGCUGAGCUAGUGCAUCUGAGAUGGUUAUUUUUUUCAUAUUAGCUGGUAUGGGCUUUGGAUUUAAGGUGAGACAGUGUUGCAAACACAGGGAUGUUUUCACUAUUGCCGAGCAUUGUUUUCACAGCAUCAAGGCCUUUUCUGCAUCUCACCCCACCCACCAGGGAUGGGGCUGGGUGAGCACAAGAAGUUGAGAGGAGACACUGCUUACCCCAAGGGACCCAAGGAAUAUCCCAGGCCAUAUGGCAUCAUGCUCAGCAUAUAAAGCUGGAGGAAGAAGGGAGGGAUGUCAGGAGUGAUGGUAUUUGUCAUUCCAAGUCACCAUUAACAUGUGGUGGAGCCCUGCUUUCCUGGAGAUGGCAGGAUAAAAAUGUCUAAAUGUAUGAGUCAAAUCAGAAGCUUGCUUUAUUUUUAGAUGAUGGGUACAGAUUUACUUUAUGGCUCUUGCACAGGAUACCGAAAAAAUAAAGGCCAACAGUAAGGCACCCCCGGAAGCCAGAAGCACAGCAGCGAUUGUCCUGGAGCCACCAGUUCCUAGUCCAUGGCUCUCAGAAUUAUGUGGCAGUGUCACAGGACAAGACCCUUUGUGUGGUGCUGGACAAGAUACUGCAGCAGCAAAGGCAGAUCUUCCUAUCUCCAGGGAAUUGUCUGCCAUCAGCAGUGGAAAAGAAUAAUGAGGAUGGAUUCCAAACUUCAGAUGUUCCUGGCAAGAGAUUUAAACUGAGAGGAACAAUUGAUUUGUCUUUACAAACAAGCUGUGGGUCUGCUGGUAGAUUAAACUAGCACUGGGAGAUAAAAGAAACAAUGAGAAAGAUCCACUGAUUGAUGAAUGGAAAAAAGAUACUUGCCUUUACAAACAAACUGUAGGCUUGCUGAUAAAUGAAAUUGGAUAUUGAAAGAUGAAAGAAACAAUGGAGAAAAACCAUAAAUUCCAUAAGAAUUAAAAAUCAAAAGGAAAGGUUAUACAUUAGAAGAUAAUCUUAAGUAUCAGACAUUCUGGGAAGUCUGUACCUCUCAAGUACCUCAGCCUAUGGGUAAAGAGAGAGGGAAAUGCAGCAGGGAAAUUAGGAUAAAAGGAAGGCUGUGGCCUCCAAAAAUUUGAGAGACUCCAGGGUGCUGGGGUCUUCAUUUCUUCAUGUGGGAAUAGGAACAAUGCAGCACCAAUAUGACAAUCAGAUCAUUUGUUUAUUUUCUAGGUUGGGUUACAUUUAUACUGUAUACAGAUCUAUUCAUACAAGUAUCUCCUCUACAAUUGGCUGCAUGUAUUGUUCACACACUUUUAUAAGCAUAUUAUUGGAUAAUUACAUUUGUGUAUAUCAGACCACAAUUUAUUUAAUUUUCUCUUUUUCUCAUCCUGUUAGUUCUUACUUUAUGUUCUUUUACUGACCAUGACUUGUUCUUUCGGUGUCUGAUAACCUUGUCCUUGUUCUUAACUGUUUCUCUUUAUGUUCCAAUUUGUUCUAAUGCUGCCCAGACUCCUACACCCAGGGGAAUGCCCCAUGGCCUCUCCCUUUAUUCGAAUAAAGUAAAAGGACUCUUCUGUCUCCUUUUCAGACAUAAA